AAUACGGUGUUACUCCCACACAUGGGCUGUGAGUAAGUAACAGCUAUUCAGUCUCUUCCAGACCCCCCUGCCUCCCACACUGAAGACUCUCUACAUUUUCAGCUUUUAUUAAUUGAUAUGAGUCAAUGACAAGAUGUUUGCGGGAGGAAGGGCAGGAGACACAGCUAAUAACUUUGAGACAACGAUGGGUGAUAGGGCUUCUUUGUGGAAUUAUAGGUUAAUCCAAAUAAAGGCUUCCCUCGUAGUCCCUCUCCCACUGUCAUGUUCUACUCCUGUUCUGCUAAACUAGAAGAUGAAGAGGUAAAACUUAACGUUAACUCAAGCUCCUGAAUAGUUUCUUUAGUUAUAAGUGAGAUAUUAAACAUGAUGAGCAGUAAACUCUUCAAGAUAGUUACUCUUUCUGGAACCAAGUACUGGUACAAGGAACAGCCUUUCUUUAUGUACUUUUAAAACAGUAAGAAAGGUGCAUAAAUUUGCUCCAAGUUGUGCAGCACAUUGAUAAUGUUCUGAUAUGCAUGGAAAUAUCUAAUGUGUGUGAGGCUUCACCUGUACAUUUCAAGAGGACUUUUUCCUGCCAUGAGCUAAAUCACCAAAAUGGGGCCAUGAGGCACCUAAGAGCUCUACAGGUUUAAUGCAUAGACCCUUCUGCAGGUUGUGCUUAUUUUUACUUUUUCCCCUGCAAACACAGAAGACAAGUGUAAAUUAAUGAAUAACAAGCCAGUGAAGACUUCUCAAGUUUGAGAAAUACAUUGUGCAGAGCAAUACAGAUAUUUUCAUCUGCAGCAACAACUAAUCUGUCAAAGUGGAAGAGAGGAAAAAAAACUUGCACAUUUUUAUCUAAUAUACUCUUACUAAAAAGCUCUGACAAAUCACAUCCCUGUUUCUUACCUAUCAUCAGUGGUUAAAGUGACUGAUAGAAACUUUUGCUUGAGUAAUGGAAACAUUUGCUAAAAAUAAACACUCAUGCAGAUGCAGCAUUCAUACGUGGACAUGGACAUUAUCAAUAUCACUAAAGUAUCUGUCAUGUUAAUUAAACCAUCUAAUGUGGAAGUUUUAGCACUACAUUUCUGAUACUAUGGCUUGUGACUUUCACACAGAAAAACAAGAGUCAAGACAUUAUAGCUCCGGGGAAAAACAAAUCCCAUGUUGAACACUUUUUUUUUCUUUUGACUUCACUGUGAAAAAUAGUGUUUGUCCUACUGGAGAAGUUAUAAAGUGAAAGCAAGUGUAUUGUAAAUUUCUGUGUAAGGAAAUAAAUACUAGAUUUCAAUGCCCUUGGUCAAAAGCA